rnacentral:lncRNA from 1 species
UCCACCAAACGACUGCUGCUCAGGGGCUUCUCCUGCGGGUUCCUCGGGCUCUUCAACCGGAUCGUUCUCUAUGCGAGCGCAAACAUACAUACAUCCACAUAUUUAAUACCAAAGAACAGUACACCAUACAAUAGAAUGCAAUAAGUAAACAGACGUUCCACGCGAGCUCGCGAGUACGGUUAAGAGAGAAAGAGGAAAAAACAGUCGAGAAACGAUAACGUUACAUGAUUAUAAAUUAACCACUCGCUUAAAUGGAAGGAAAUCUAAUGUAGACACUAUGUUUAGCGUAAAGUAAAGUCAUGUUUCAUGUUUAAUUAUUAUAAGCAGGUGGAGAUAAAUAAAAGGAUGGUCGCGCGGCGAGACGCGCGACAAAGCUCUCUAAAACAAAUUAAGAAGUUAACGACUCGUCGCGCGACCGAGCACGCAACGAGGCACUUCGCCUUAGUUAUGAGAAGACGUUAAACGUCGCGCGACGAAGCGCACGACGGCAUACGUCCACUAAACUGAGUCCAAAGUGGAAUGUCGCGUGAAUACACACGCGGCGUUACACCUUAAACAACCUGAAACAAAAAUGGAUCGUCGCGCGACGAAGCGCACGACGCAACACAAGAUAGAAUCUGAAUUUAGACAAAUCCGUCGCGCGGCGAAGCGCGCGACGCAACACGCUAAUUAACGAAUAAUCAUCGCGAGCGCGGGCGAGCGAAGAUACGGUCGGGCGGGGCCGGGACGGGGAACGGGCGGGCGAGCUGGGGCCAGGGCGGUUGAACCGGCCAGGGGGCGGUUGAACCGGCCAGGGCCGCGCCGGGGACGCGCCGGCGAGCAGGGGCCACCGGGGCCGCGCCGGGCCACGCCGGGGGCGCGCCGGGGCCGCGCUGCGCGCGAGCAGGGGAGGGGCGGGGGCGGGCGGGCGCCGCCACGGGGCCGGGAUGGGCGGGCGCCGCCACGGGGCCGGGACGGGCGGGCGCCGCCGCGGGGAGGGGCGGGGAGCGCCGCGCGGGCGGGCAGGGGGCAGGGAGCGCCGCCGCGGGUGGGCCGGGGGCGGGGAGCGCCGCAGCGGGCGGGCAGGGGGCGGGGAGCGCCGCCGCGGGGCCGGGGUGGGGGAAGCGCCGCCGACGAGGGGCGGGGACGGGGUCGGGCGCCGCCGCGCCGGGAGGGGCGGGGACGGGGAACGGGCGCCGCCGCGCCGGGAGGGGCGGGGACGGGCAGGGGCGCCGCGGAUCGGGGCGAGGGCGGGCGCCGCCACCGCGCGCGAGGGGGAGGGCGGGCGAGCGCCGCCGCGGCCGGGGGAGGGCGGGGGCGUCGCGCUGCCGGCGAGCAGGGACGGGCAGGGGCGCGCGCGAGCAGGGGAGAGGGAGGGCGCGCGCGGCAGGGGAGAGGGAGGGCGCGCGGGGGGGGGAGAAGAGGAGGGAGAGAGGGAGAGAGAGGAGAAGGGGAGGGGAGCUCACCUCGGGGUCCAAAAUCCGGUGAUCGCCGUCUCCAAAUCCUAGGGCACCACGGGGAGAGAGAGGUGGAAGAGGGAGAGGAGAGGUUGUUGCGCGGGAGAUCCAAAUGAGAGAGAGAGAGAGGAGGGGGGGCGCAUGGGGGGUUUUGGGCGCCGGGGGCGCGCAGGCCGAGGCGGGCCGGGCCGGCUGGGCUGGGCUAGGUUGGGCUGGGCCGAGCCACUUCGCGGAUCGAAAACCCACGACAAGUGCGGACCACCAAACGGAAUUAAAUCGCGAACCGAAAUCCGGAACGGAACGAGACGAACAUUCAACAUCAGACAAAGAAAUGCGCUUCGGCAUGAUGCAACACCCAUGACACUUAGGUUUUGGUUUAUACAUGACACGGACACCUGCCGCUAUACUGGUUUGAAGUUGGGAAGAAAGAGCAAACGGGGAAAGAGAAAAGAGAGUAACGCCCGAAUUUGGUGAGAGAAAAGAAGAAAAAAUUCUACCCCCAAAUUCAGGGCGUUACAGAGGGGGACGGACUUAACCGUCUCCGCUGGCUCAAAGUUGUCGGCAUGACGCUUCACGUCUGGCACCUCCUUCGAGAGGCUCUCCAAGUCGGCGAUGAGGGCCUCGGACUCGGCGAGGGCCUCGGCGUAUUCCACGCACUCCACGUCGCAUUCGAAUGCGUGUUUGUACGUGGGGCCGACGGUGAUGACCCCGUUGGGGCCCGGCAUCUUGAGCUUCAGGUAGGUGUAGUUGGGGACGGCCAUGAACUUCGCGUAGCAUGGUCUUCCCAGUACCGCGUGGUAGGUUCCUCGGAACCCGACCACCUCGAACGUCAGGGUAUCCCUUCGGAAGUUGGAGGGUGUUCCGAAGCAGACGGGAAGGUCGAGUUGUCCGAGGGGCUGGACGCGCUUCCCGGGAAUGAUCCCAUGGAAGGGCGCAGCGCCUGCUCGGACGGAGGACAGAUCGACACACAGGAGCCCGAGGGUCUCGGCGUAGAUGAUGUUGAGGCUGCUGCCUCCGUCCAUGAGGACCUUGGUGAGCCUGACGUCGCCGAUGACGGGGUCGACGACGAGCGGGUAUUUCCCCGGGCUCGGCACAUGGUCGGGGUGAUCGGCUCGGUCGAAGGUGAUGGGCUUGUCGGACCAGUCUAGGUAGACUGGCGCCGCCACCUUCACCGAACAGACCUCCCGGCGCUCUUACUUGCGGUGCCGAGCCGAGGCGUUUGCCGCCUACCCACCAUAGAUCAUGAAGCAGUCGCGGACCUCGGGGAACUCUCCUGCCUGGUGAUCUUCCUUCUUGUCAUCGUCGCGGGCCUUGCCACCCUCCGCGGGUGGCCCGGCCCUGUGGAAGUGGCGCCGAAGCAUGACGCACUCCUCAAGGGUGUGCUUGACGGGCCCCUGGUGAUAGGGGCACAGCUCCUUAAGCAUCCUGUCGAAGAGGUUGGCACCUCCGGGGGGCUUCCGAGGGUUCUUGUACUCGGUGGCGGCGACAAGGUCCGCGUCGGCGGCGUCGCGUUUCGCUUGCGACUUCUUCUUGCCCUUCUUCUUGGCGCCACGCUGAGUUGACGCCUCGGGGGCAUCUUCCGAAGGGCGGCCCUGGGGCUGCUUGUCCUUCCGGAAGAUAGCCUCGACCGCCUCUUGGCCGGAGGCGAACUUGGUGGCGAUGUCCAUCAGCUCGCUCGCCCUGGUGGGGGUUUUGCGACCCAGCUUGCUCACCAGGUCGCGGCAGGUGGUGCUAGCGAGGAACGCGCCGAUGACAUCCGAGUCGGUGAUGUUGGGCAGCUCGGUGCGCUGCUUCGAGAAUCGCCGGAUGUAGUCCCGGAGAGACUCUCCCGGCUGCUGUCGGCAGCUUUGAAGGUCCCAGGAAUUCCCGGGGCGCACGUACGUGCCCUGGAAAUUGCCAGCGAAAGCUUGGACUAGGUCAUCCCAGUUGGAGAUCUGCCCCGGAGGCAGGUGCUCCAACCAGGCGCGAGCGGUGUCGGAGAGGAACAGGGGGAGGUUGCGGAUGAUGAGGUUGUCAUCGUCCGUUCCACCCAGUUGGCAGGCCAGACGGUAGUCCGCGAGCCACAGUUCCGGUCUCGUUUCCCCUGAGUACUUUGUGAUAGUAGUCGGUGGUCGGAACCGGGUCGGGAACGGCGCCCGUCGGAUGGCCCGGCUGAAGGCCUGCGGACCGGGUGGUUCGGGCGAGGGACUCCGAUCCUCCCCACUGUCGUAGCGUCCCCCACGCCUGGGGUGGUAGCCUCGACGCACCCUCUCGUCGAGGUGGGCCCGACGGUCGCGGUGAUGGUGCUCGUUGCUGAGGCGACCCGGGGCCGCAGGCGCGGUGUUGCGCGUGCGUCCGGUGUAGGCCGAGACUUCCCGCAUGAAUCGGGAAGUCGCGGCAUGAGGUUCCGUGGGGUACCCCUGCCUUCGGGAGGCAGAGCUCUCGGCCCGUCGAACCGCGGCGCCUUCCAGGAGAUUCUUGAGCUCUCCCUGGAUUCGCCGCCCCUCGGUGGUUGAUGGCUCCGGCAUCGCGCGGAGAAGCAUUGCCGCUGCCGCCAGGUUCUGGCCGACCCCACUAGAUGCGGGAGGCGGCCUGACCCUGACGUCGUCGGCGAUGCGGUGCUGGAAGCCCUGGGGCAGAUGACGUAUUUCUCCGGCCGGAGGUUGGCCCGCCCAUGCCUGCUCGACGUCCUGGCGGAUCGACUCAAGCGCUCCUGCUCCCUCGUCGAGCCUGGCCUGUACCCCGCGGAUUUGCUCGAGCUGUGGGUCAUGGCCCCCCGCCUGAACGGGGACCACAGCUAGCUCCCGUGGGAUGUCAACGCGGGGCACCGGCCUAGGGAGAUCACCAACCUCUGGCAUGCCGAGAUGGUUGCCUUCGGAGGGACCCCCUAGAUCGACGUGCAAGCAUUCGCGACUUGGGCCGCAGUCCUCGUCGCCGAGGCUACGGCUACCGUCGGAACAGUCGGAAAGGCAGUAGUCGCAUGCGGUCAUGAAGUCCCGCAUGGCACUGGGGUUGCCAAGUCCAGAGAAAUCCCAACAGAUGCUGGGCUCGUCGUCUUCCUCGGACCCAGAGGGCCCGUAGGUCGAGACGUCCGUCAGCCGGUCCCAAGGUGACCGCAUACGAAACCCCAGAGGGUUUGGACUCGCCUCUACGAGAGCACCCACCAAAGCGAAGCCGCUAGGCGGGUCGAGGCUGAAUCCGAAAGACGUGGGAUGGGAAUCGGUCGGUAUCUUUUGGUCGACGGGCGUCGAUGAGGUCACGUCGGGAACUGACUGCACCGUCAUCUCAGGUACAAGGGUGACGUCCAGCAAGCUUUUCGCGAGCGCGCUGGCGUCAUCCGUUUGCCCGGAAUCGGCACGUUGCGGGGAGACGGCGCUCGUCUUCGUCUCAAGCGCGGGGUCGAUGCCCGGUGCGCCCCCUGUUGGGGUGCCGGCGCUGUCGACUCGCUCGACAGCCGACGAGACGCUGCCUCCUGCUUGGCCUUGGUUGCCCCGCCUCCUCCUCCGUCGGUGGGGGAGAGGACGGGGUGAGCUCGAAUGUUGUUCUUCCACCACGCGGGGAAGACGUCAUCGAUUCCGCCGCCGGCGGGCGGGCUGUCGGCCGCCAUUGUCGUUAUCGCGCGGUGGUGGAAGGAGUAUCAUGUCGUAGCUGCCGUCGAGGGACAUGAACUCAAGGCUCCCAAAACGGAAUAUCGUCCCGGGUUGGAGAGGUUGCUGGAGACUGCCCAUCUGGAGCUUGACGGGAAGCUGUUCGUCAACACGCAGCAGGCCCCUACCUGGCGCGCCAACUGUCGGCGUUUCGAGACCGGGGGGUCCCUAGGCUGACGAGUGAAUGUCGCCGCGUGCCCCAGCCCAGAUGGGUCGAGCGCGAGGCCGAGCGCGAAGGGGGGAAGCUAGGUGGCCGGAGACCGACGUGAGAGAGGUGGGAAUCCUGUGGCCUUCGUGUUCAUCCCGCGCCCAGGUCGGGUGCGCUUGCAGUAGGGGGUUACAAGCGUCCACGCGGGAGAGGGAGCGAGCGGCUUCAAGCGAGCGCGUGUCUCGUCCUCGUCCCCGCGCGGCCCACCCUCUCUAAGAGGGCCCUGGUCUUUCCUUUUAUAGGCGUAAGGAGAGGAUCCAGGUGUACAAUGGGGGGUGUAGCAGAGUGCUACAUGUCUAGCGGGGGAGAGCUAGCGCCCUGAGUACAUGCCGUUGUGGCAGUCGGAGAGAUUUUGGCACCCAGCUGGUGUGAUGUCGUGGCCGUCGGAGGAGCGAUGGAGCCUGGCGGAGGGACAACUGUCGGAGCUGUUGAGUCCUUGCUGACGUCCUCUUGCUUCCGUAAGGGGGCUGAGAGCCGCCGUCGUCACAGAGUAUGCGGGGCGCCAUCAUCGCCUAUCUGGCGGAGCGAGCCAGAUGGGACGCCGGUCUUGUCCCCGUGGCCCGAGUGAGCUCGGGGUAGGGUGAUGAUGGUGCCUCCUGUUGACGUGGCUGGUCUGCGCCCUAGGUUGGGCGACGUGGAAGCUCCUCCGAAGCCGAGGUCGAGUCUGUCUUCCGUGGCCGAGGUCGAGUCCGAGCCCCUGGGUCGGGCGAGGCGGAGACCGCCGGCUGAGGUCAGGGCGUAGUCCGAGCCCUGGGGUCGGGCGGAGCGGAGUUCGUCGUCUUCUGGGGCUGAGCCCAAGUCCGAGCCCUAGGUCGGGCGGAGCGGAGUUCGUCGUCUUCUGGGGCUGAGCCCAAGUCCGAGCCAUGGGUCGGGCGGAGCGGAGUUCGCCGUCUUCCGGGGCUUAGCCCAAGCCCGAGCCCUGGGUCGGGCGGAGCGGAGUUCGCCGUCUUCCGGGGCCUUGCCCGAGUCCGAGCCCUGGGUCGGGCGGAGCGGAGUUCGCCGUCUUCCGAGGCCUAGCCCGAGUCCGAGCCCUGGGUCGGGCGGAGCGGAGUUCGCCGUCUUCCGGGGCUUAGCUCGAGCCCGAGCCCGGGGUCGGGCGGAGCAGAGUUUCCUAUGGUGCCUGCGGCCGGGCCUGAGUGCCUGUCAGCCUCACUCUGUCAAGUGGCACCGCAGUCGGAGCGGCGCAGGCGGCGCUGUCUCUCAGUCGGGCCGGUCAGUGGAGCGGCGAAGUGACGGCGGUCACUUCGGCUCUGUCGGCUGGGGGGCGCGCGUUAGGAUAAAGGCGUCAGGCCACUUUUGCAUUAAACGCUCCUGCGACUUGGUCGGUCGGUGUGGCGAUUUGGUCAGGGUUGCUUCUUGGCGAAGACAGGGCCUCGGGCGAAGCCGGGAACAUGUUCGCCGCUGGAGGGGGGCCUCGGGCGAGACGGAGAUCCUCCGGGGUCGGCUGCCCUUGUCCGAGGCUAGGCUCGGGCGAGGCGUGAUCGAGUCCCUCGUAUGGACUGAUCCCUGACUUAAUCGCACCCAUCAGGCCUUUGCAGCUUUAUGCUGAUGGGGGUUACCAGCUGAGAAUUAGGAGCCUUGAGGGUACCCCUAAUUAUGGUCCCCGAUAAUAACUAUAAAGACAAGAUUGAAACUUAAAUGCUUAAUAUAAAUGUGGAAGCUAAAGAGCAAGGUAGAGAUGCAAACUCUCAUGGAUGACGUCGGUAUUUUUACUGAGGUAUCCGAAACCGCGCAAGGUCCUGACUAAUCCUCGUCGGUGCCCCUACGUAAAGGGAAGCCCAGGCAAGGGCCAAGCACCCCGACUGAGUAACUCCGUAGAGAGUCGUGGGCCUUCUCCACGCGCAAGUGGUGCUCCGCUUCCGGCUCUUCUCGGACGCUCCCCGCCGACUCCACUAUCGAGCUUCCGUCUCAAAACGUCGCGGGCCUCAUUACCUCCGGUACACAGUAGCGGCCGCGACACAAACGCGGUUGUCACGGUCUCGCAAGACUCUCGCCCGACUCGGUACAAUUACAACAGCUCGCACAAGAGUCGAGGGGUUGUGUGGUUUAUCUAAACUCACUCAACUAACUAGGGUUCACCUAGAGCAAGCACUAAAGUGGUCUAACUAACCUAAGCACUUCGCAAAGCACCUAAGCUAAUCACCGAGUGAUUCUAUUAAGCACUUGGGUGUAUGACCUCUUGGAAAUUUCUACCAUAUGCCUUGGUAUGUUGCUUGGGAUCCUACACCUUCAAAUGGCUGGUUGGGAGUGUAUUUAUAGCCCCCAACACAAGACUAGCUGUUGGAGAAAAGCUGCUGCUCUCUGCGACACAUCGGACAGUCUGGUGGCGCACUGGAUAGUCCGGUGCCCCUAUCCGGUGCGCCUAGCCAUUGGAUCUGACACCGCAGGUGACCGUUGGCGCGCAGGCUUUUUACACCGGACACUCCGGACGUCACACUGAAUAGUCUGGUGGCUUCUCUCCACCAGUGCCACCUGGAACUAGCCGUUGGGCUAUUGUUCCAUAGUGCACCGGAUAGUCUGUUGUGCCAUCGGACAGUCCAGUGCUCUAAACCAGACAGCCCGCAGGCAACACUUCCUUUGUUUCUUGGACUUCACUUGAUCUUCAUAAUGUCUUCUUUUGAGGUGUUGCUUUCCUCAAUGUCUUGGUCCAAGUAACUUUAGCAUCCUGUGAACUACAAUCAUAAACACUAGCAAAUUCAUUACUCCACAGGCUAUGUUGAUCAUCAAACACCAAAACCUAUUUAGCCAAAUGACACGAGGUCCAUUUUCCUUACAAUCUCCCCCUUUUUGGUGAUUGAUGACAACACAACCAAAGCAAGCAAAUAUUACAAACAUUGGAAUGUAAAUAUGCAAUCUCCUUAGUGAUUCCUUGCUAAUAGUGCAACAUGUGGCUAGAGAACUUCGAUGUUUAGAGGGGUCACUCAAUAUUUAUCUUGAUUCAUGCCUUAGAGCAUCUCCAAGAAACAACAUAAAGGCUCCCCAAAACCUUGUUUACAGGAGAAAUCUGGAUUUUAUUAAUCCAACAAAACCCCAUUCGUCACCCGCAAUUAUUCGCGUCCCAGAAACGAGGCCAGACGUCCCUCAGAUUUGCGGGAGUAGAUUUCUCCCCCCAUCUGAGUCCUGUUGUAACCAGAGACAUGUAAUCCAAAAAAUGCUAGCGACUUGCAUUAGAGGGGCCAACGAUUUAGACAAAAUGGGCCUAGGAUUUUUAAAAGCUAGCCCAGUUUCGUUUUCAGUUUUUAUUUUGAGGGAACGACUGGAGUAACACCUUAUUUCACUCUUACAAAAUUUUAUGUAUGUCCCCUAUAAUUAGUUUUUGAGGAAAAAUUACAUUACCUUUUGGAGUUGCUCUUAAUAUUAUAUCUUCAUUUACCAAAUUUUGAAUCCAGUAUAUUCCAAGGCAUGGGAAUUAUAAGGCAAACAUGUUGGCUCAAAAGGCAUAUGAUUGCAACGUUAGUGGGUGUAUUUUUUUCUAUCAAACAAAGGCCAAUGAGAUUAUUUUUACUUGACUCUCAAUAGUCAGAGUUGGCUAGGCUAGCUUUAAAAGUUAGCUAGGUUGGCUUUGUUGGUAUUUCUAUACAUGGGAUAGAUCUAGCUAGUCCGACCAUAAUGGCGGCAAGAUUGACUAUCCAUCUAUGUUGGCUUGUGAAGUUGGCCAUACCAAUUUCUCUAUGAAGGCCCAAAUUAACUAAUUUAAAUCCUGCCAAUGCUAAGGUCAAUUUGGAUGGUUGGAGGGAUCCUAUAGCAACCUAUUUAUAUAUUCCAAGUGCUGAAGUUAAUAAAAGUGUUAAACAAAGUCCAUUUACGUUUGUACACAAUGAUGAAUUAUAUCAAAACACUAUCAAAGACUUGUUUCUUAAGUGUUUGUAUUCUGAUCAAGCUAGAGUGGUUAUGGGACAAGUUCAUGAAUGUAUAUUUAUUACACAUCAAUCAGCUCCAAAGAUGAAAUAGUUAUUGUGUAGACCUGAUUUUUAUUGGACUACUAUUAUGGUCAAUUUUUUCACUGCUACAAAGGUCGUGAGGAGUACCAACGGUUUGGGACUAUUUUGCUUGUGAAUGCUUCAAUGCUUCAUCCUAAUCAAUCCAUUGACGUUUCAUGGAUGGGAGCAAGACCUCAUUUGCAAAAUUCAUCCCCCAUCAUCAAAGGGACAUUAUUUUUCUUGGUUGUUAUUGAUUACUUGAGUAAAUGGUCUGAGGUUAUUCCAUUGAAGAAUAUGAUACAUAAGGAAGUAAUUUAGUCUAUUACCGAGCACAAUAUGCAACGAUUCAGCAUCCCUCAAACAUGAACUAUGGAGCUGCAAACACAAGGUUGACUUGUCCCUUGUGGUUCGGGUUAAUGAUGAGUGAUCGUCAACGGGUAGCACUCUGAGAUAGACAGUGGACUGACUGGAGUGUGAGAUUAUGCUUGUGCAACCAUGUCGGUCAGCUUGUGGUGUGCAGGUGUGGAGCACAGGGUCGGUGGUCGAUGGCUGAGGUGAAGGUAAUGCGGGCUCGUGCUGAUGAACCAGGAGCGGCGAAGGGAGAAUGCUAGGUCUUGACUGACGGACUAGAGCAGCCGGGUGACUAGCCGCGGUGGCUGACACCUGGGACAUGCACUCGCAUGAGGACAUGGUGGAGUGGACCGUGUUGCCAGCGUAGUCAAGGACUGGUGGGAUACAUGUCUGGUCGUGGAGGACACGCACGAGGUGUGGUACUCACGAUGAAUUUGGUGGAUUGGGCCUCAAAACUACCCAAUGCCACAAAUGGAUCGUUUUGCUGAGUUUGGACCUCAAAACUCGGCAACGACGGUUUUGGAGGGAACUAGUGGCGUCACAUGGCAUGAUAGAGGAGGGUGCGUAAAGGCAAAGCAACUCCAUGUGAAGGACGUGGUUGUCGGAUCGAGAACCUAGGAGUUGGCCAUUUCGCCCCCGUUGGAGUGGAUAGUGUCACACCCGAAUUUAAGGGCAAAUCUUAGCGCGAAUCAAAUGUGUGCUAGGAUCAAGUCUCACACAUAUGAUGACCCAUGGUACAAAAAUGAAUGUCACAUCUUUACUAUAUAAUAGGAGUUCUCUACAAAAUAGCUAAAUAAUUACAUCAUAUGAAGACAACGAUCCUCCGCAACCAUAGUUGACUGGGAGAUGAUGACCUAGACCUCUCACGAACUCAUCGCGACAUCCUUCCUGCUCCCCAUAUUGCAGUACCUGUUCUUGACUUGGGGGGAUGUGAGUACAUCAAGGGUGAGCUCACAUAUGUUUAUCGCUCAACAAGUUUUGGGGAAUAAUGUGCAUGAGCUCACUUACGAUGGGGGUUCAGGUGAAUUGUAAGGCUUACCAAAGAAGAUGAUUAAAGCUGAAUAUUGCUUUUAGAGUUGGUCAAAUUUUAUUAGCAGUUACUAAGUAUAAGUAGAUACCAACCCAUUUAAAUAAAAGAUCAUAAUUAAUAAUAAAACCCACAAUGCAAUGCAAAUGACAGAUUAAGUUUAGUUCCAUAAGUUACUCAUGUGAGGGUCCGAGCUGCUCAUGAUCGUUAGCACGGUUGAUAUAUCAGUUUUAUACUCUGCUGAGGUUGCAUAUCUUUACCCACAAGACUUUCCUGUUUAGCCAGGGUUAGCUAGACCCUUGGACACUUCUAAGGUGAAUGGCUAGGGAUCCACUGCGAGGCCUUUACAAAGUUCCACUAGAGGAGAGAACCCGCUACGGAUUCUGCGCCGAAGGUGAUGUAGGAAUUCCUUUUUCGGAAAGCUAAAAAUAUAGUCCAACCCGAGGACCUCUCUACACCUGCACUCCUCCACCCCACUUGCCCUUUUUGGGAAAGGAUUAACUCACACUAGCUUUCCUAAUUAUUCAACUAAGGGUGUCCCAUUCCACCCUUUUGGUAGCACUGUUUUCCUGGGUGGUUGAUCCAUGUUCCAUUUAACAUAAUAAUCUUAUCGUGAACAAUAAUUAAACUAACAGUAUUAAUGGAACAUUAUCAUAAUUCAAUAUAACAUUAAUCCCAAAUCCAGGUAGAGCAAUAGCGAGUCUACCCGAUAGUUCAUUUGUUUGUAAGGUGUGGGGUAAAUAAAACUAGGGAAACCUAUUGGGUCCCAUCAAAUUAACCUGAGCAUGUCACAGUGAUUAACAGGAACAUUAUUAGGUAAAGAAGCAUGAUCAAGGGCACAACAUGCCUGUGACUUGUGAUAAUAGGCGUUGACCCAAAAGUUGGGCUUCAAGUUACUCGUCACCUCGCCUCUACUCGUAGCAAUACAUACAAUCAAGCAAAUAAUGGAUAUGGUAACAUUACACCAAAGCAUAUAAAUAAACAAUGUAAGAAUAUUCUACGCGCCGCUACGAGAUCGUAGGUUCGAGAACCACUAAAAUCGGAGUUAUGGUUAAAAAUAUAGUAUUCUAAAGUUUUAGGUUCUUUAAAAAGUAAAACUUUAUUCUUUAUUGAUUAAUAUAAGUCAGAAAGGAUAUGAAUAAAUAAUUAAUUUAUCUUUAAUUUAGGUUAUAACUUGAGUAGAGAUCACAUCUUAGUCAGAUUAUAAUUAUAGGCAGAUUGACUUUGACUAGAAUGAUUAUCAACUAUCAUAAGUUAAAUAAAUACCCAAUUAAAGAGGUAUGUGGAAUGAUACAAAUAAUGUUUUUAAUGUGUAGACAAUUUUACUACAAAGCUAAUGCAACUAGAACAUACCAAUUUGGAGUUAAAUCGCAAAAGUUAUGGAUUUUCUAAGGUUAUUGGAUUUAUUUUUAUACUAAUAAUCAUUAUAUCGGAUUUAUUUUACUUAAUUUAAUAAACUGUGGAUUGCGAGUACUAUUUCUAAGAAGAACAUGGUUCAAUAUAUAAAUUCUAGGACCAAUCCGCAAGACUCUUUACACAGUCUUGGAUGGCGGGUUAAUUUCUUAAAAAUGUGAGGGCUCUUAAGCAUAUAUCCUACGACGAAGGGGGUACGGUUCAUUAUGGACUGCCCGAUCAUACCCGAGUGGCCUAGAUUAGAUCUUCAUAACACCUGGACCAAUACGAGUUCUCAAUAAUUGGAUCUCAGAUUCGUGGUCAAGGUUUGGCCACACCAUCGAUUAAUCUCCUCUAUCCGACUCUGAUCCAGUGGAUCAGAUCAAAAAAAUGAAGGGGUACGUGGACGCUCAAUCUCAACCCUCGGUUACUCGAUCAACGGCCAUGUGCCUCAUCCACACCACAACUCUUACCCACGGCGGCGCAGAACAGGGCCCCACGAUAGCGUAUUCUCCCCUACGGCGGCGCCAUGGUCGCCGAGCACCCAAACUCUCCCCACAGCUCCAUCAUCGACACGAUUGGGAAGAAAACAACGAGAAGGCUACUACGGUUUGGAUAGUAGGGGACUUACCAGAGUUGGUGAGGUGAUGGCCUGUAGCCACGGCGAUGGGAGGCGUUGUGGCUGUGAAGGCCGACAAGGGAUUAUCGGCCGGUCAAGCUUUAGGAGUCUUCAAUUUAGCGCGAUGAAGAACUUGGGCACAAUUUUGAGCGCAGUAUAGAGGCAUGGAAGGGGAUCACUAACGGUGGCCGCAACCUUUCUCUUCGCCCCGCUGAUGGCUCACUCUGAUCCCCAAUUGCUCACGACGGCGGUGGCUAUUAACUUCUAUGAUAGCCCUCGGCGGUAUAGUACUAGAUGGCCAAGGCAGCGCCGAGCUCGGGUUUUAUAUUGGAGCAGAGCUAGGAUCGUAGGGGGGAGAAUGGUUGAAUAGCCCGAACUUUAUGCGCGUUUUGUUGAGGGGAUAGGGAUGGUCCUGAUGGGGC